rnacentral:tRNA from 1 species
GGCAACUUGGCCGAGCGGUCCAAGGCGCUCGACUCAAGUUCGAGUCUCUACGGAGGCGUGGGUUCGAACCCCACAGUUGUCACCA